UGGGGAGACGCCGAUGGUAAACCACCGGGCCGGUGUAGCAGGUUCGAAUCCUGCCUCCCCAA
rnacentral:tRNA from 1 species